rnacentral:rRNA from 1 species
GGUUUGGCACCUCGAUGUCGGCUCGUCGCAUCCUGGGGCUGGAGUAGGUCCCAAGGGUUGGGCUGUUCGCCCAUUAAAGCGGCACGCGAGCUGGGUUUAGAACGUCGUGAGACAGUUCGGUCUCUAUCCGCCGCGCGCGUGGAAACUUGAGAAAGGCUGUCCCUAGUACGAGAGGACCGGGACGGACGUACCUCUGGUGUGCCAGUUGUUCUGCCUGGGGCAGGGCUGGUUGGCUACGUACGGGAGGGAUAACCGCUGAAAGCAUCUAAGCGGGAAGCCUGUUUCAUGAUGAGGUUUCUUUUGAGGUUCCCCAGAGAUGAUGGGGUUGAUAGGCCGGAUCUGUAAGCAUUGUGAGGUGUUGAGGUGACCGGUACUAAUUGACCGAACUAAAACAACA